rfam:Deinococcus hopiensis KR-140 genome assembly, contig: Deiho_Contig198.1
UCCCCCCUCUGCUAUCCUGACCUCACCUGGGAGCGGGGAAGUCCGGUGAGAGUCCGGCGCUGUCGCGCAACGGUAUGCCGCAAGCAGCGGUAAGCCCGAAUGCCCCCCGGGAACGCCCCGCCAGG